AAAUAUGAAGCAAUUUUGCAAUUAGUUUCGACCUAAUUAUUUGGUAAUUUUAUUACCCUUAUUUU
rnacentral:tRNA from 1 species